AGAGUUUGAUCAUGGCUCAGGAUGAACGCUAGCGACAGGCCUAACACAUGCAAGUCGAGGGGUAACAGAAGUGCUUGCACUAGAUGACGACCGGCGCACGGGUGAGUAACACGUAUGCAACCUACCUUUUACAGAGGGAUAGCCCAGAGAAAUUUGGAUUAAUACCUCAUAGUAUUUGUUAAUCGCAUGAUCGACAAAUUAAAACUCCGGUGGUAAAAGAUGGGCAUGCGUUCUAUUAGUUAGUUGGUGAGGUAACGGCUUACCAAGGCGACGAUAGAUAGGGGCUCUGAGAGGAGAGUCCCCCACACUGGUACUGAGACACGGACCAGACUCCUACGGGAGGCAGCAGUGAGGAAUAUUGGUCAAUGGUCGCAAGACUGAACCAGCCAUGUCGCGUGAAGGAUGACGGCCCUAUGGGUUGUAAACUUCUUUUAUAUGGGAAGAAAAGUAGUUACGUGUAACUAUCUGCCGGUACCAUAUGAAUAAGGAUCGGCUAACUCCGUGCCAGCAGCCGCGGCAAUACGGAGGAUCCAAGCGUUAUCCGGAUUUAUUGGGUUUAAAGGGUGCGUAGGCGGCUCUAUAAGUCAGUAGUGAAAUCUCGAGGCUCAACCUCGAACGUGCUAUUGAAACUGUGGAGCUUGAGUACAGACGAGGCAGGCGGAAUGUGUUAUGUAGCGGUGAAAUGCAUAGAUAUAACACAGAACCCCGAUAGCGAAGGCAGCUUGCCAGACUGUAACUGACGCUGAUGCACGAAAGCGUGGGUAGCGAACAGGAUUAAAUACC
rnacentral:rRNA from 1 species